rnacentral:lncRNA from 1 species
UCAUCAUGUUGCUCAUUUUCGCGCCUUUUUUAUUCAAAACUGUCUUGAUGGAAGACCAUGCAGAUGUUAAGCCAAUGCUGAAAAAAAAAGGGCUGAACUUCUAUAAAUUGUGAGCGACGACAACCAGCCCCCGAACCAGCCUUCCAGAUAGCUGUACACAGUCGAGCUGAACAUUUCUUCAAAAGAAAAAGUUGGUUUGAUUGAUUCAUUCCGCACGCUGUCAUCACUGACAACGAACAAACAAGAUAUUUACGGCGGACCUUGAUUCCUCCAGAGAUUCAUCCUCUUUACGUACUGCUCCGGCUUGGGUUUCUUAUAAAUAUCCGUCAGGUCUCACCGUCUCUAGUCCGCAGUUCUUUACCGUAAUUCUUUCUGGGAAAACAGCUGGACAGUCUACAAACAUGAUCCGGAUCUUGGUAACAAUUGGUUUCUUCCUUAUUUGGAUGAUGGAGAAGAUAGUAUCGGACGCCAAACCGAUUUUCGGACUCUUGGGAGGUUUGCUCGGUCUGGACCACCACCACCACCAUCACUACGAUCACUACGAUCACGUUCAUUACGGGCCUUAUGGAUAUCCCGGCAGAUUCGGAGGCUAUCCACCGUACGGAGGCUACCCACCUUAUGGAUACGGCGGCUACCAUUUCGGGAAAUGAAAAGAAAAGGGAAAUAAUUCAUUUGUAGAUUGCAUUAAUUUAAAUCAUUUUUCUGGUUGUGUGUUUCUGAAUGACGUUUUUUUGUGUUACUAAUAAAAACCCCUUUUUCUUUUUCUCAGCGCUUUUUGAAAUUGGCGCGAAUUCAUUUCUUUAAGUGAGCCAGUGAGAACGACCAAAUUCAAAACGUGAGAGCCCCCUAAGAAAUGGAAAUUCGUUAACAAGAGAUUAGGGGGGGAUACAGACAAAAUGGCAGCAGCCUCACUUGACUCUCCUAGGAGCCAGUCAGCCCAGCACUUUACUUGAUGAAACUCAAGGAAAUAUUGGGCGGCCACGCCACCCUACCCAGCUAAGUAAGGAUUCAGGACUGUUUGAGAGAAAGUUUAGAUCGUUGAACGCCCAAAUUAUACAAGUUUCUUACGUUACUACUUUAGGGACUUGGGUACAGUUUCGAAAUGAUGCUGCUGCUUAUAAAUGUUGAUCCCAUUUCCAGUUUUCCGAUGAAUUCUCACGAGUGUCAGUCUUGAUUGAAGAGCGACGAAAGAUUGAUGGGCUUUCACUUAAAUUUAUUUAUUGGUAGCUAGAGCGUUGGCGGGGGUAAAUCAGUACGCGGUGAUGGAAUGAGGGAUUGAAUCCUAUGCCACUACCUUUUCCAUUCCACGAAAUGUUUCCUGUAAAAUUCAUCAAGUAGUACAAAGUACAAACGAACCAACUUUUAGAUUGGAUACUACCGGUGACGGCUGUAAAUGAAGACGAUAUUAAAUAAGAGGAGAGAAAGCAAUCACUUGUUAUUUGUUCAGUUGCUUGCUAUGUCUAUAUACAUGUACGCCAUUGAAGGCCAGUCAUCACUAUUACGCAAGCAUUGUACACGUCAUUUUCGUUUGACUUGAAACGCGACCUAAUUUAUAUGCAAAACAGAGACUUGAAAUACACAUUGGAGGUGACCGGUAGCGGCUAGACCGGGAACAAUUUCAAAUUAAAGACCCGGCCUGAUGGUAUCAUAUUGUCAACCAACUUGAUUCAAAAUACAAGUGACAUCCUCAUGUA